CCUACGGGUGGCUGCAGUGGGGGAUAUUGCACAAUGGGGGAAACCCUGAUGCAGCGACGCCGCGUGUGGGAAGACGGUCCUCUGGAUUGUAACCCACUGUCCCCAGGGACGAAGUUGACGGUACCUGGGGAGGAAGCUCCGGCAAACUACGUGCCAGCAGCCGCGGUAAUACGUAGGGAGCGAGGGUUGUCCGGAAUUACUGGGGGGAAAGGGAGGGUAGGCGGGACUGCAAGUAGGUUGUAAAAUCUACUGGCUCAACCGGUAGCCGCACUCAAAACUGCAGUUCUUGAGUGAAGUAGAGGCAGGCGGAAUUCCUAGUGUAGCGGUGAAAUGCGUAGAUAUUAGGAGGAACACCAGUGGCGAAGGCGGCCUGCUGGGCUUUUACUGACGCUGAGGCUCGAAAGUGUGGGGAGCAAACAGGAUUAGAUACCCUUGUAGUC
rnacentral:rRNA from 1 species